rnacentral:rRNA from 1 species
ACGAGUUUGAUCCUGGCUCAGAGCGAACGUUUGCGGCGGGCUUAACACAUGCAAGUCGAACGAGAAUCCCUUCGGGGAGGAAAGUGGCGCACGGGUGCGUAACACGUGGAUAACCAACCCAUUGGUUUGGGACAACACCGGGAAACUGGUGCUAAUACCAGAUGUGUCGCAGCUGUCUUCAGGCGGUUGCGAGAAAGGCCCGCAAGGGUCGCCAACGGACGGGUCCGCGUCCCAUCAGCUAGUUGGUGAGGUAAUGGCUCACCAAGGCAAAGACGGGUAGCUGGUCUGAGAGGAUGAUCAGCCACACUGGAACUGAGACACGGUCCAGACUCCUACGGGAGGCAGCAGUGGGGAAUAUUGCGCAAUGGGCGAAAGCCUGACGCAGCCACGCCGCGUGAGCGAUGAAGGUCUUCGGAUACGUAAAGCUCUGUGGGGGGAGAAGAAGAAAGCCGGUGAAGAGCCGGCCCUGACGGUAUCCCCUUAGCAAGCACCGGCUAACUCCGUG